rnacentral:rRNA from 1 species
UGGGGAAUAUCGGACAAUGGGCGAAAGCCUGAUCCAGCCAUGCCGCGUGAGUGAUGAAGGCCCUAGGGUUGUAAAGCUCUUUUGUGCGGGAAGAUAAUGACGGUACCGCAAGAAUAAGCCCCGGCUAACUUCGUGCCAGCAGCCGCGGUAAUACGAAGGGGGCUAGCGUUGCUCGGAAUCACUGGGCGUAAAGGGUGCGUAGGCGGGUUUCUAAGUCAGAGGUGAAAGCCUGGAGCUCAACUCCAGAACUGCCUUUGAUACUGGAAGUCUUGAGUUCGGGAGAGGUGAGUGGAACUGCGAGUGUAGAGGUGAAAUUCGUAGAUAUUCGCAAGAACACCAGUGGCGAAGGCGGCUCACUGGCCCGAUACUGACGCUGAGGCACGAAAGCGUGGGGAGCAAACA